CUAGUACUCCCUCCGUACGGAAAUACUUGUCAUCAAAAUGGAUAAACGGAGAUGUAUCUAGUCCCUAUUUAUACAUUUUGAUGACAAGUAUUUUCGGACGGAGGGAGUACAUC
rfam:Triticum aestivum genome assembly, contig: Triticum_aestivum_CS42_TGACv1_scaffold_000328_1AL